rnacentral:snRNA from 1 species
AAUUCUAAAGAGAUGUGAGGUAUAAUUAAAAUGAUACAAAGAAAAUUAGCAUGGCCUCUAAGCAAGGAUGACACACACAAUUAAAAUUUCACCGUGAUGUAA